rnacentral:rRNA from 1 species
UACGUAGGGUGCAAGCGUUGUCCGGAAUUAUUGGGCGUAAAGAGCUCGUAGGCGGUUUGUCGCGUCUGCUGUGAAAACUCGGGGCUUAACUCCGGGCCUGCAAUGGGUACGGGCAGACUAGAGUGCGGUAGGGGAGACUGGAAUUCCUGGUGUAGCGGUGAAAUGCGCAGAUAUCAGGAGGAACACCGGUGGCGAAGGCGGGUCUCUGGGCCGUAACUGACGCUGAGGAGCGAAAGCGUGGGGAGCGAACAGG